GGCUGGUCCAAUGGUAGUGGGUUAUCAGAAGUUAUUAACAUAGUGUCAUUAAAGUUGGUAUACAACCCCCACUACUAAAUUUGACUGGUUUAAA
rnacentral:Y_RNA from 1 species